UGAUAGCGUUGAAGCGUGAGGUUGCUACUUAUAAUAGUAGGUGUUCCGUGGAGCGAAUGUCAAGUUAGGAAACUGGCGACAA
rfam:Clostridium nexile CAG:348 genomic scaffold, scf36